UGCAAAGGUAGCAUAAUAAUUAGUUUAUUAAUUGUAAAAUUGUAUGAAAGGAUAUAUAAGGUUUAUAUUGUCUCAAUAUUAAUAUAAAAACUUUAUUUCUUUAUCAAAAAGUUAAGAUUUAUAUAAGGGACGAGAAGACCCUAUAAAUCUUAACUUUUUGAUAAAGAAAUAAAGUUUGGUUGGGGCGACCGAUGAAAAUAAAAACUUCAUCAAAAUAACAUCCCCAUGGGGAUGUUAUUUUGAUCCUCUAUAGAGAUUAAUAAAACAAGUUACUUUAGGGAUAACAGCAUAAUUUUUUUUAAGAGUUCUUAUCAACAAAAAAGUUUGUGACCUCGAUGUUGGAUUAAAUUAAAGUUAAAGCGCAAAAUUUUUAAUUUUUAGUCUGUUCGACUUUUUAUAUUUACACGAUUUGAGUUCAGACCGGAUCAUUAGUUUAUUAAUUGUAAAAUUGUAUGAAAGAAUAUAUAAGGUUUAUAUUGUCUCAAUAUUAAUAUAAAAACUUUAUUUCUUUAUCAAAAAGUUAAGAUUUAUAUAAGGGACGAGAAGACCCUAUAAAUCUUAACUUUUUGAUAAAGAAAUAAAGUUUGGUUGGGGCGACCGAUGAAAAUAAAAACUUCAUCAAAAUAA
rnacentral:rRNA from 1 species